rnacentral:pre_miRNA from 1 species
UGGGAUUGAUGGCUCUGACAGUGUUGCACUACUGUCUACACAAAUUAAGCAGUGCAAUAAUAUUGUCAAAGCAUUUGGUUCCAGU